GCCUACCGCAUCAUGUGAUGAGUUCUACCUCAUCGUGUGAUGAAGUCUACUGUAUCAUGUGAUGAGUUCUACCACAUCAUGUGAUGAGGUCUACUGCAUCAUGUGAUGAGUUCUACCUUAUCAUGUGAUGAGUUCUACCUCAUUGUGUGAUGAAGUCUACUGUAUCAUGUGAUGAGUUCUACCACAUCAUGUGAUGUGUUCUACCUCAUCGUGUGAUGAAGUCUACUGUAUCAUGUGAUGAGUUCUACCUUAUCAUGUGAUGAGGUCUACUAUAUCAUGUGAUGAGGCCAACUACACCAUGUGAUGAGUUCUACUGCAUCAUGUGAGGAGGUCUACUGCAUCAUGUGAGGAGGUCUACUGCGUCAUGUGAUGAGUUCUACUGCCUCAUGCGAUGAGUUCUACUGCAUCAUGUGAGGAGGUCUACUGCAUCAUGUGAUGAGGGGACGGCAAGGCGUAUAUCCAAGAUCAAAUACAUCAAUAACAAAAUAAUAAUUCACGAAGAUAAACUACAUUAACCAAAAAAAAGUCAAAGUGUACGAGUUAAGUUAUAGUAUAAUUUAUGUUUGAGAGGAGCCCGGGCAGUAAACGAUGCACCUUGAUAAGUGUCCACGUCUGUGUUCUUUAUUUUGAUUAAGAGUGCUGAGAUUUCACUGAAAUUACCUGACAAGAUUGUGUUUGAGAAACGAGCAGAGAGGGAAACAAAAUAAAAAAAAUAAAUGAGUAAAUUGGGUUUCACAGACUGUAUGACAAAUGUGUGAAAGAUCAAUGAAAAAACAAUCAUCAAUACCAAGCCAGUAUGACAGACACCAUUUAAUAUAAUGUUGCCUUAUUUCAGAGGGUCAUGUUGUAUAGUUAGGCGUCUUUGGGGGCCUGAGCCUGAAGAGAUACACAGCGGACUGAAAAUCUUUCAAUUAAUGUGUCAACGGACUUUCAAUGGAGAAUGUUCUUUUAAUGUGGUUCCAGACGGGGAAACACAACACACAAUAACACAGAAUUACGAAUGGAUUCUUUAAUAUUAACCCUAACGCCUUUUUCAUAGGUUUCAGAGGAAACUGCAAAACAUGAAGUGGAAAAGACAUUCUUGGAACCAUUUGCGAAGCGGUUAUGCGCCCAAAGCCCUAACAUGCUUGAUGUUUUUGGACUUCAUUCGGGACUGUCAGGAUUAUUUGUACUAUAAAAAAAUGCCUGUUUUCCUUUGUUUGUAAACUAUACAUGUUGAGCAGAUGACACUAUUUUGAAAUAUGACUUGAUUUAAUAUUGUACAGACUGUAGGGAUUAAUAUAUUUCGGCUCUUUUUUCUAUGAUAUUUGUGUGUCUGUGUGUGUGUGUGUGUGUGUGUGUGUGUGUGUGUGUGUGUGUGUGUGUGUGUGUGUGUGUGUGUGUGUGUGUGUGUGUGUGUGUGUGUGUGUGUGUGUGUGGAUGGAGAAAUAGCAUAGUGAGUGUAAGUGUGAAAGAGUAAAGUGAAAAGAAGGGAAAGAAAGAGUGAGAGAAAGAUUGAAAGGGAUUGAAAGAGAUGAAGGUAAAAUACUGAAGAUUGACCAAAUGGUUCUAUAAAAUGCCAUUUUUAUAGUAAAUUUAUUUUGUUGGCCUAAAGAUACCAGUCUUUUCCAAAAAACAUCCUCUAGUUAUUGCAUCCUUGCAAUUGCUGCAACGAACGAUAUGGUAUGUAUUUUGGGAUUUAAUCAGAAAACAUUGUAUAAAUGAAUGAUUGUGAGCAGAGAAAAUGUAAUAAACCAACCUGCACAUUCUAAGAAAAGGUCACUAAUUUAAAUGCGACUUUGAUAAUGACGUGACGUUUUCUUUAAAUAUUGCUAAAUAAUUAAAAUUGAUUUUUUUUGGUUGCAAAAGAUCCCCCUCAAAUUAGUAUAUUUAAACAGUGCCAGGUUUCAUGACGGCCAUAUCUCUCGAUGGCUACUAUAUUUGUCUUUAAUUCAUGAUUACAGUUCAUUCCAAAUAUAUAUUUGGGAAAUGCUUUUAAGAUUUUGGUUGGGUGCACCGAAACAGGCUUUGGCCAAGUUGGCUCUCCAAGUGAAGAUUUAUGUAAUGAAAAUGUCUGACCCAUGUUGGGCAUACAUGCAUAUUUGUGCAGUAGGAUUUCUUAAUGUGUACACUUGCACAACAUACUGUAUUAGCAUGCAUUUAACUGCAUUUCAUAGAUCUGAGAAUGGAGAUCAAACUGUAUAGCUGUUGGAAAGGCUUGGAAGUUCGAAGUGAAAUGAGGUCCAUUGUUUUUGUGUCUGGCAAUUCCUUCGCAAGACAAUAUUAUGUAUCUGUACAGUUAAACUGAGUAGGUUAUUUUGCCCACUCAUUAAUAAAGA
ensembl:lncRNA